ACGAACGCUGGCGGGCGUGGAUAAGACAUGCAAGUCGAACGGAGUAUUACUUGUAGCAAUACGAGUGAUGCUCAGUGGCGGCAAGGGUGCGUAACACUGUGAGUAAUCUAACCGAAGAGUGAAGAAUAGCUCGCCGAAAGGCGAAUUAAUACUGCAUACGACCAGGGGUGGACAUCCACCAAAGGUCAAAGCUGGGGCAACCUGGCGCGCUCUUUGAUGAACUCGCGGCCUAUCAGCUAGUUGGCGGGGUAAAAGCCCACCAAGGCUAUGACGGGUAGCUGGUCUGAGAGGACGACCAGCCACACUGGAACAUGAUGGCACGGUCCAGACACCUACGGGUGGCAGCAGUCGAGAAUUUUUCUCAAUGGGGGAUAACCCUGAAGGAGCGACGCCCGCGUGGAGGAUGAAGGUCUUCGGAUUGUAAACUCCUGUCAUUGGUGAACUAAGGUUACCCGAUUAACUGUCGGGGAAAUUGAUAGUAGCCAAAGAGGAAGAGACGGCUAACUCUGUGCCAGCAGCCGCGGUAAUACAGAGGUCUCAAGCGUUGUUCGGAAUUAUUGGGCGUAAAGGGUGCGUAGGCGGCAGGGUAAGUUAGAUGUGAAAUAUCCGUGCUUAACACGGAAAUUGCAUUUAAGACUGCCUUGCUUGAAGCAUUAGAGAGGAGACUGGAAUUUACGGUGUAGCAGUGAAAUGCGUAGAUAUCGUAAGGGAAGACCAGUGGCGAAAGCGAGUCUCUGGCUAAAUGCUGACGCUGAGGCACGAAAGCUGGGGGAGGCAAACGGGAUUAGAUACCCAGCGGUAGUCCAGCAGUAAACGGUGCGCGUUUGGUGUGAGCAGGUUCGACCCUGUUCGCGCCGGAGCUAACGCGCUUAAACGCGCCCGCCCUGGGAAGUACGAUCGCAAGAUUAAAACUCAAAGAAAUUGACGGGGGCCCGCACAAGCGGUGGAGCUAUGUGGCUUAAUUCGAUGGCAACGCGAAGAACCUUACCCGGGUUUGACAUGCACUCUCUAAGGCGGUGAAAGCUGCCGAGGGUAGCCAAUACCCAAUUUGCACAGGUGCCUGCAUGGCUGUCGUCAGCUCGUGUCGUGAGAUGUUGGGUUAAGUCCCGCCAACGAGCGCGACCCUUGUAUGCCUGUUGCCUAUGAUUACUCAUAGCUCUCUGCGUAGACUGCCCCGCCGUGAAACGGGGAGGAAGGUGGGGAUGACGUCAAGUCAGCAUGGCCCCUUACAUCCAGGGGCUGCACACGUACUACAAUGCUCAGUACAAUUAGAACCUGCCCCCGCGAGGGUUGGGAAAUCAGCGAAAACUGAGCUCAGUUCGGAUUGGCAGGCUGCAACUCGCCUGCAUGAAGCUGGAAUCGCUAGUAAUGCCGUAUCAGCAUACGACGGCGUGAAUACGUUCCCGGGCCCUUGUACACACCGCCCCGUCACAUCAUGGAAGUCGCCUGUUCCCGAAGGUCUAGUUUACUAGGACGAAGGAAUGGGCGGUAACUGGGAUG
rnacentral:rRNA from 1 species